GACGAACGCUGGCGGCGUGCUUAACACAUGCAAGUCGAACGAGUGGCGAACGGGUGAGUAACACGUGGGUGACCUGCCCUGCACUUCGGGAUAAGCCUGGGAAACUGGGUCUAAUUCCGGAUAGUGCGGGAUGGGCCCGCGGCCUAUCAGCUUGUUGGUGGGGUAAUGGCUACCAAGGCGCGACGGGUAGCCGGCCUGAGGGGGUGGACGGCCACAUUGGGACUGGGACACGGCCCAGACUCCUUCGGGAGGCAGCAGUGGGGAAUCUUCCGAAAAUGAGGAAAGUCUGACGGAGCAACGGCGCGUGAGGGAUGACGGCCUUCGGGUUGGAAAGCUCUGUUAAUCGGGACGCGGUACCGGAAUAGAAAGCCACGGCUAACUACGUGCCAGCAGCCGCGGUAAUAC
rnacentral:rRNA from 1 species